rnacentral:rRNA from 1 species
UACGAAGGGGGGCUAGCGUUGCUCGGAAUCACUGGGCGUAAAGCGUGCGUAGGUGGCGCGUUAAGUGAGAUGUUAAAUCGUGUGGCUCAACCAUAUCGAUGCAUCUCAUACUGGCGUGCUAGAGGACGGCAGAGGCAAGUGGAAUUAGCAGUGUAGCAGUGAAAUGCGUAGAUAUUGCUAGGAACACCAAUGGCGAAGGCAGCUUGCUGGGCCACUCCUGACACUGAGGUACGAAAGCGUGGGGAGCGAACAGG